UUCAAUAAGCGGAGGAAAAGAAACCAACAGGGAUUGCCCUAGUAACGGCGAGUGAAGCGGCAACAGCUCAAAUUUGAAAUCUGGCUCUUUCAGAGUCCGAGUUGUAAUUUGCAGAGGGCGCUUUGGCUUUGGCAGCGGUCCAAGUUCCUUGGAACAGGACGUCACAGAGGGUGAGAAUCCCGUACGUGGUCGCUAGCUAUUGCCGUGUAAAGCCCCUUCGACGAGUCGAGUUGUUUGGGAAUGCAGCUCUAAAUGGGAGGUAAAUUUCUUCUAAAGCUAAAUAUUGGCCAGAGACCGAUAGCGCACAAGUAGAGUGAUCGAAAGAUGAAAAGCACUUUGGAAAGAGAGUCAAACAGCACGUGAAAUUGUUGAAAGGGAAGCGCUUGCAGCCAGACAUGCUUGCAGUUGCUCAUCCGGGCUUUUGCCCGGUGCACUCUUCUGUAGGCAGGCCAGCAUCAGUUUGGGCGGUGGGAUAAAGGUCUCUGUCACGUACCUCUCUUCGGGGAGGCCUUAUAGGGGAGACGACAUACCACCAGCCUAGACUGAGGUCCGCGCAUCUGCUAGGAUGCUGGCGUAAUGGCUGUAAGCGGCCCGUCUUGAAACACGGACCAAGGAGUCUAACAUCUAUGCGAGUGUUUGGGUGUCAAGCCCGAGCGCGUAAUGAAAGUGAACGGAGGUGGGAACCCGCAAGGGUGCACCAUCGACCGAUCCUGAAGUUUACGGAAGGAUUUGAGUAAGAGCAUGGCUGUUGGGACCCGAAAGAUGGUGAACUAUGCUUGAAUAGGGUGAAGCCAGAGGAAACUCUGGUGGAGGCUCGCAGCGGUUCUGACGUGCAAAUCGAUCGUCAAAUUUGGGCAUAGGGGCGAAAGACUAAUCGAACUAUCUAGUAGCUGGU
rnacentral:rRNA from 1 species